UACAGAGGUGGCAAGCGUUGUUCGGAAUUACUGGGCGUAAAGGGCGCGUAGGCGGCCUUCUAAGUCAGACGUGAAAUCCCCCGGCUUAACCUGGGAACUGCGUCUGAUACUGGGAGGCUCGAGUAUGGGAGAGGGAUGUAGAAUUCCAGGUGUAGCGGUGAAAUGCGUAGAUAUCUGGAGGAAUACCGGUGGCGAAGGUGGCAUCCUGGACCAUUACUGACGCUGAGGCGCGAAAGCUAGGGGAGCAAACGGG
rnacentral:rRNA from 1 species